rnacentral:rRNA from 1 species
UACAGAGGGUGCAAGCGUUAAUCGGAGUUACUGGGCGUAAAGGGCGCGUAGGCGGAUAUUUAAGUCGGAUGUGAAAUCCCUGGGCUUAACCUAGGAACUGCAUUCGAUACUGAGUAUCUCGAGUAUGGUAGAGGCAAGUGGAAUUCCCGGUGUAGCAGUGAAAUGCGUAGAUAUCGGGAGGAACACCAAGGCGAAGGCAGCUUGCUGGGCCAAUACUGACGCUGAGGCGCGAAAGCGUGGGGAGCAAACA